GUGGGCGGGGCCUGCACAGCCACCUCUGUGAUCUAACAGGAGUCAACAAUGACUUCCUGGCCGGCCUCAGGCCCCCGGGUUGGGAAGUCAAUCAGGAAAACUCCUCCCCACCCCCACCCCUUCCCGACCCCCAAGGUAGUGAACACACACUAUGGCUGGGCUGUGUGGCUCCGUCUGGGCAGCUCCCACAGUCCAGGGGCUGAGAACAUACUUCCUCCUUCUGUAAUGUCUCUCCUGUCCCUGCCCCAAACCGUGACCGCGCAGGUCCUCCGGUGCCACGAGUCCCCAUCUUCCCCUUCGUGACCAAUCCCAGGCUCCGCUGAGCACUGAUGACCCAGCUACUCCCAAGACGGAUCUGAGCACACACCGCUGGGCCCAGGGCUGCCCUGGACCCCAGGCCCCCUGCUCCACGCCAGAGACGGAGGUUGCUGUCCGGCCGGAGCCCUGAAAAAUAGGCCUGUCGAGACUCUGCCAACACGAGCUGCUCUCACGGCAACCACGCAGCAGGGGCUGUAGCUGCCGAAGAAGAAGGCUACGUGGGGAGAGGCGCCCUGACAGACGGAACAUGUGAACAUGUGAACCAGAGGACGUGACUCACUUCUCCAGGGGCCUUGCUAUCAGGCAGCCUUUUGCGUGAGGUUUUCCACGCUGAUCUGCGUGCCCAAGCUCUCCCCACUCUUACUGGGGGUCUCUUUAAACACCUGCAUUACUAAUUUCCCUGGGAUCUUUAACCACCUUACGUGAAAUGAACAUCCGUUCCAUUUCCUUUGGGGGGGGGCGGUAAAAACUGUCAUUGUAAGCACUGAAUACAUUUACAAAGUGAUGUCUUAAA